GUAGUGGACACUACCCAGAUCGCCUUCAAUAACAGGUAGUGUACACUACCCAGAUCGCCUUCAAUAGCAGGUAGUGUACACUACCCAGAUCACCUUCAAUAACAGGUAGUGUACACUACCCAGAUCGCCUUCAAUAACAGGUAGUGUACACUACCCAGAUCGCCUUCAAUAGCAGGUAGUGUACACUACCCAGAUCACCUUCAAUAACAGGUAGUGUACACUACCCAGAUCGCCUUCAAUAACAGGUAGUGUACACUACCCAGAUCGCCUUCAAUAGCAGGUAGUGUACACUACCCAGAUCACCUUCAAUAACAGGUAGUGUACACUACCCAGAUCGCCUUCAAUAGCAGGUAGUGUACACUACCCAGAUCGCCUUCAAUAACAGGUAGUGUACACUACCCAGAUCGCCUUCAAUAGCAGGUAGUGGACACUACCCAGAUCGCCUUCGAUAGCAGGUAGUGGACACUACCCAGAUCGCCUUCGAUAGCAGGUAGUGGACACUACCCAGAUCGCCUUCAAUAGCAGGUAGUGGACACUACCCAGAUCGCCUUCAAUAGCAGGUAGUGGACACUACCCAGAUCGCCUUCGAUAGCAGGUAGUGGACACUACCCAGAUCGCCUUCGAUAGCAGGUAGUGGACACUACCCAGAUCGCCUUCGAUAGCAGGUAGUGGACACUACCCAGAUCGCCUUCGAUAGCAGGUAGUGGACACUACCCAGAUCGCCUUCGAUAGCAGGUAGUGGACACUACCCAGAUCGCCUUCGAUAGCAGGUAGUGGACACUACCCAGAUCGCCUUCGAUAGCAGGUAGUGGACACUACCCAGAUCGCCUUCGAUAGCAGGUAGUGGACACUACCCAGAUCGCCU